rnacentral:lncRNA from 1 species
AAAUUAUUUAAUUUACUAUUUAACUUCAAAAAAGCCAGAAAAUCAAUCUUUUAUUAAUAUCUCAUUAGAAAUUAGGAUAAUAGAAAGGAAAAUAAAUAAGCAAUAACAAAAACUCCAAAGAUUGCUGAAAAACCGAAACCAAUCCUAGUAAAUUAGGAUACAAUUUGAUUAAGGAAACCAAAGCGAAAACCAAAAAAAAUUAUAUUAAUUGGAAAAAACCGCUGGAUUAUACACCUCUAUAUCCCCGCUCUGGACUUUCUCCUCUCUGCCUUCGGUGAACUAUGUGCACUAUCGGUCUCUCAUCUCUACCGUUCGCCGAAUGCAACACCGACCAACACGACCUCUCUGAUCGGUGCGUUUUUUUCCUCUCAUCUCUGUCGUUUGCCUAUCUGCAACUCCCAUCAGAAAAUUUUGUGGCUGGUGAGUUCUCCUUCUAUCAUCUCCACUGGAUUUGUUCUUUCGUUUUUUUUCACUCUUUCUCUCACUAGAGUCAUCGAAAUUGGUAUUGAUAAUGGACAAAAAUUUAAAAGACACAUAUGAGCUGUAAAAAGUACUAAAAGACUGCAACAAUAAAUGAUAUGUUAUUUGGUUAUGGCCUAGGAAUUGUUAUUUAAUCAAAAUAAAUAAAUAAUACAUUAUGAAAAUUUUAUAAAACAAUUUUGUUUGUUAAAAAUAUAAAAUCGUAANNNNNNNNNNNNNNNNNNNNNNNNNNNNNNNNNNNNNNNNNNNNNNNNNAAUCAUUUAAUAUAUAUAUAUAUAUAUAUAUCAUCUUCCUAUUCAACUUUUGUUAAAAAUCUCAUAAAUGAUAUAAUAGCUUUGUUAAAUAAUUUAUAUAGAAUAAAAAGCUUAUGAUAAUUCAAAGGGUAUAUAGAAUAACUUCAUUAAUUAUUUAAAAGUUUUGAUUUCGGCCCCUCCACUGAUAGUAUUCGUGUUCCGCCCCCGAGUGAAAUUGAUAUUAUCACCUUCGGAACUUUGAUAACUUAAAAUGUAAUAUUGAAAAUAGUCCGAUCUUAUUGUAAUACAUUUAAUGAUUAACGAUGAUAACUAAUGCAACAAAUCUUAAAAAAUUAUUGUUUCUUACACUUUGAGUAAUAUUGAGAUGGUUGUUUUUUAAGGGCAUCUUAUAUGUAUGAUUACAAAAUAAUAAAACAUGCGACUUUUUCAUGAUCGACUGGAUUAGUAUAAAUAAAUCGUAAAACAUGAUUAGUGCGUAGCAACUAGCAAGUAGCAAUGUACCUUAAAAUAGAACGGUUUUAAACUUUUAUUUAUAUUGCCCCAGUAAGCUCUUGAUUUAUGGAGACUUUCUUUUCUACCAGAAAGAAAGACAUAGGACACGGCUCCAGAAGUUGGUGUUGGUCUCGAGACGAAGGAUUCGAUAAGGCAGUAAAGGAAAAUUCGAUUGAUGCUAGUUCCAGAAAGCAGAUUCCAGAUGUGGAGAUUACGACUAGAGAGAUUUUGGAAGGGGUUCCAGUGGGCCAAUACUCAUAAUUCCCCUAUAUUAUGGGCUUAGUUAGCCCGUUUGUUAUAAUAAGUUAAAUUUUCUCCAUAUCAAAUUAUGUUUGCUAGCUUUGGCUCUUUCAAAAAAAAAUUAUCAAUUAAUUUGUAAACUCUACCACUGUUAAUUAUUUAAUUUGAUAAAUUAAUAAAAAUAAAUUUAGUUCGUAUAUAGACGUAUAGCAUGUUUAUGCGAACCAUUUUAACUUUUGUGUGAUUUUUAUUUCCUUUCACCCAUGAUUAUUUGUGUUUGUGUAAUUCUAAAUUAUAUCAAUGGUCAUUAUGGUUUGGUAUAAACAUUUUUUUUGUCCUUAACUUAUUUCUUUAACUCGGACAUAGUUUUUAUGAUACUUUUUGUUAUAUUUUUGGUCAUUGCUAAACGUAAAAUAAAUAUUUUGUCCUUAAUAUUUUUUUAAUUCAUUUGUUUUUUGGUUACUCUUUAUUAAUUUAGAAAAUAAACUUAGAUAAUUUAUAAAUAAAUGGGUCCUACAUCCCACAUCCUCAUCACUCGCCAGAUUUCGACACCACCUCCACCCGCCAUUCUUUCCACCACCUUAUUCCUUUCAUCCCAAUUAUUUUCAUCUUAUAAAUUAAACCUAGAUGCCAACAAUGAAAAUCAGACAUGUACAAACCUAAUGUAAAUCAGUUGACAUCUACAACCAUCUUUUAUGCUCGAAUCCAUCUAAUGAUUUUUUUUAACGUGGGUUGAGUUUAAAUGUUGGGGCUGAAAAUGAUUUUCUAGGAGUGAUAGUGGGAGAAAAAUCAGAGAAGCUCCAAAUGAAACCCAAAUUUGAAAACCAAAACUUGAAAUGAAUAUUUUUCCUUUUUCUCCAUCCAUCUACCUUGUCCCUCAAUUGUCUAGCCUAUAUAGUGAUUGCAAUCCUUUUGUCGAUCUUCUCAAUC